rnacentral:rRNA from 1 species
GACGUAGGAUGCAAGCGUUGUCCGGAUUUAUUGGGCGUAAAGAGUUCGUAGGCGGUUCGUUAAGUCUGAUGUUAAAGACUGGGGCUCAACCCUGGGAGUGCAUUGGAUACUGGCGGACUGGAGUACAGUAGAGGCAAGCGGAAUUCCAGGUGUAGCGGUGAAAUGCGUAGAUAUCGGGAGGAACACCUGUGGCGAAAGCGGCUCACUGGACCACAACUGACGCUGAGGCGCGAAAAGCUAGGGGAGCAAACAGGG